AUGGGAGGGACAGGACAAUUUAUCUGAGCCAGGCACUGUCUCAGUUAAUUUGCAGGGCCUUUGUAAUUCUUGAGCUAAAGGACAUCCAAGUUGUUCCUUUAAUGCUUGCUCUGGUGUCUGCAUGGCAUGAGUCUGUGCAGGGUGGACAUUUCUCCUGACCUACCACUGCUUUUUCUUGGGGCAGUCCUGAUUUAACCCCUUAUCCUGUAAGAACUUAAUCCUUCUCUCUUUUCCCUUUUUUAUUCUUAUCUCCAUUUACUGACUUUUUACUUCUGACUCAGACCUGAUCACCUCUUCUGGUUCCUGCUCUCUUUUUAUUAUGAUUUUCUUAAUUUUAAGACUACCUAGUGUGGCUCUCUUCACAGGCAGUUAGUGGCUCAUCAAUUUUCAUCCCAUUUUUGUGUGUCCCCUUGUGUUUCCCUCUGUGCUACUGUCUAUAAAGUUGUGAUGCUAUUUUCUGGCAGUCUUAUCUGAUACCUCAUCACUGCUGUGCUGCUUUCAUCAGAAUUCCCCUGCUCCAGCUUGAAUUUCUGGUAUCUCCACUGUGCCCUUCCUUGAGAGGUGUUUGGUAUGACUCAGGUUCCUGUAUGACAACAGUACUGACAGAGCAAUGAUUGCUCUUUGACUUUUGUGUGUGCUCUCUUUGGUCCACGUUAGAGUUGGCAGAAACACUUGGCUAAAUGCAGACUUCAUUCUGCUGACUGUGAUCCUCAAGAUGAGUAGAGGAAAACUCUCUCCCUCCAUCUACAAGAGGAGUUACAAGCAGGCCAGGGAAUGGCAUUGCAGCUGCGGUCUGUAGCAUGUCACUCUUGGGAAACCCUUAACCACAGCUGUUGCCUUUUCCUGUAAAUGACAAUAGUGUGACAUCACAUCCCUCAGCAGAGGGGAUUUACCUCCGUGUUUCUCCAGUAGCAGAAAUAAUAGCAUUGGGUGGAUGUGUGCUGUGAGCAUUUCAUGGGGCAGUAGCAAGUGAUGCUGAGCUGUGCUGGGAUUCCCAGGCUGCCCCCGUGGCAUUUGAACCCAGCUCUGGCAGAAGUUAGACGUCAGCACAAGUGCCUUGAUGUGGCCCAGCCUCUUCUGGUGGACAUCCUGCAACAAAUGGGAACCUCUGUGCUGUGUGUGCCUUCACCUCUGUCCUCCCUGUGCCUUCACUUGCUUCCCAAAUUAUCUUCACUCCUCACAACCUCUGCACACAUUUACAACGUGAUGAACUGAUCCAGACUAGGCUUGCCAGGACUGCCCAGCCCAGCCGGUCUGUCAGCAGCAAGAGAAGAAACAACACUGUGCCUUUAAGCCAAGCUGAUGUUUUUAUAAAAUACAAACCAGGAUAGAAAAUGCUUCCCCUUUUUUGUAACUCUCUGAUAUGUUUGAUUCUUUGAAAGAAUUGUAGAAGUCUGAGAAUUUAAAGCUAUAUCUUCCAGAAAACCAAUACAACGCUUCUCAGAUCUCCCAUCUCUCCUCUCAAACCUCUGAUUUGUGCUGCUGAAAAAGUUUGGAGAAAUUUGUUCUUUUUCUGUGUACAUUUUUAAGCAAGAACUUGGCUAAGUUUUAUUUUUCUUGAAUACCUUCACUUUUGGAUAUUACUUGUGACUAGAUCUGUUUAGAAAAGACUUAGACAAUAUAAGACAAUAUUCCACCAGAAAGUAUCUACAAGUUUUUAAUCAACUGCUCUCAACAAUAGCUCAGUCCCACUCAUGCACAGUUCAGGCAUGUAACUAAUCCUAUUAACUUGAAGUGAAGUGUAUUAAAGUGUUUAAAGGAUUAGAGUCUUAAUUACAGGCCAUCUACAAAGGUCAAAUAUCAAAGGCUGUUCAGAGCCUGAGUUUUAGCAUUUUCUGAAUGAGAGAAUGAGUAAUAUUUGUGUGAGGUCCCCUUUACCCUUUUCACUCAGCAUCCUUUCUGCUGGAGAGUUAAAUGGGUGUUCCAAUAUGGCAUUUAUUAACUAGGCUGAAUCAUCCUGGUGACCAACAGUCAGGUCUCCAGAUUAUCAGCUGGUUAGACAUUAGCAGGGCUGCCAUAUAUGCUCUAAAGAAGUUUGGGACUUGGAGAACGUGGAUUUGAACAAAUCAAGUUUGCAUAGCAUAGUGCCAGCCUAUUUUAUAGCUGCUUCUGAUUUGAAUUAUUAAUCACUAAGACUUUUUUCCUUAUUUUAUGUUAAACAGAAAUGGAAAGGAAGAACCUGGGAUGAUAGUUAGCUGGUCUUGACAGUGUAUAACUUAGACAUCUAACUUAGAUGUAUAAAUUAUGGUCUUUGGCUCCAAAGAGGAAUAUCAGAAAAAUAGGGACUGAAAUUGCCUUCUUCCUCCCACACAAAAAGCAUGAUCAAUUACAUUCGGUAAUUUCUGACAGACACUUGUUCAAUUUGCAUUUGAAACCCAGAAACCAAGGCUGACAUUCCCUGUAUUAUUCUCUCACUCAUUUUUCAUCUACACCUUGAGAAAGCGGAUUCUUACAUCUAACCCAGAUCUCUGUUGCCCACUGAGCCUUUUCAGCUGAUGAGAAGAAGAAGAUUGUCCCCUCCCUUAGACAUACAGCACACAUAUUUAGGGCCCUCCUACUGUGUCUCCCCUUUCUCUGGGAUAAACUACUCCAAUUCCUCCAAUGCUUCCACAUAAUACUUCUAACUCUCUAUCCCAAGCAGAAUACAAUACCCUGACUGAAGGCCUUCUAGCCCCGAGCAUGACAGUAGAAUGGCUUCAUUUGCCUGGCAAACAAUAUUUCUUUUUAUGUAGCUCCCAGUGCCAUUUGCCCUUUUUGUUGUGGCAUGGCUGAUUCCUGUUGGGUUUGUGAUCCAUGCUAAUCACCAUGACACUUUAUACAGUGAUGCUAUCAGACCAGUAAGUACACAACCUGUAUUUGUGAUGUUAGCAGUUCUGCAGAGUGUGAAAAAACAUCCUUUUAAUUAUUUCCUUUCCUCUACUGUAAUUUGCCAAGUGUGCUGAGAUCCUAGCCCUGUCCUCUAACUCUUCCUGCCCCUCCAAGACAGUGGGGCUGGCAAGAAAGUUGUCUGCUCUGCCAUCUAAAUUAUUUAAUGAAAAUAUACAAUUUCUGGUACUUUCGCAGAAUUCUGCUUGCUGUGUCCAGCCAAGUUAACAACAUGCUCAUGUUAAAUAUUUCAGUCCAGUUUACAGCAGUUUGGUACUCAUCCAUUUGUGAUUUUCUGGACUUGUUUGUGACAUGGAUGGCCACGUGAGACAGUGUUAGAAGCCCUUCUAAAACCAAGAGCUGGAAAUGACCCUGCUUGACAUAAUUUACUCUAGGCAAAGUAAACCGAGAAAUUUCUUUUUUGGGUACUUAAAUGUGUCAGUGGAGGCAGAGGUUUAACUCCAGCACCUCAUUUUUUAAUGACUCAGCAGGUCACAAAACAGGUACAGCAUCUUAACACAGGCAUUCAAGCAAGAAAGAACUUGAAUUCCUCUGUAUGUGAUUGAAAAUUGUUUUAAUCUAAACUAUAUGCAUUUAAAAUCCAGAACAAUCACAAAAUAUCACUUUUACAUUGCUGUGCAGUGGGGACAGAAACAAACUGUCAAGAAACAAACUUCCCUAGUCAUUAAAAGUGAUUUCAAGUAACUGUCUUAGGUUCUUUUAGGACAAUGUUCAGCUUCAUACUUUAAACAAAGGCAGUGAAACUUUUUAAUGCAGGGAUAAGUGUGAACAAACAGGUUGCACCCCACCAAGCAGUAUGUCACACUGUGAUUGCCUAUGAGCAUUCAGCAUACCCUAAGGAUAAACUGUAUUAUGAGAGUGAAGAAACAGGCCCUGUGGACCACCCAUCAAAACAGAACUCUACUUGAAAAUACCAACUUCAUGAAAAAUUCCCCACAUGAACAAAAAACAGUAGAUCUAGCAGAGAGUAAGGAUAAAGAUCCUGAAUAACAUCAGCUGGUGAAAUAGCUGUAUUUGCAGAGUAUUCUCCCCAUCAGAGAAGAAAGAAGAUUAAGAAUGGAAAAAAAAAAA
ensembl:lncRNA